GACAAAGUGGCCAAGUGGUUAAGAUGAGGGACUGCUAAUCCAUUGUGCUUUGCACGGGUGGGUUCAAAUCCCAUCCUUGUCA